AACCUCCGCAAUGUGAGAAAUCGCGACGGGGGGAUCCCAAGUGCCAUUCUUAACGGGAUGGCUUUUCAUUAGUGUAAAAGAGUUUUUAGAAUAAGGGCUGGGCAAGACCGGUGCCAGCCGCCGCGGUAACACCGGCAGCUCUAGUGGUAGCAGUUUUUAUUGGGCCUAAAGCGUCCGUAGCCGGUUUAAUAAGUCUCUGGUGAAAUCCUGUAGCUUAACUGUGGGAAUUGCUGGAGAUACUAUUAGACUUGAGACCGGGAGAGGUUAGAGGUACUCCCAGGGUAGAGGUGAAAUUCUGUAAUCCUGGGAGGACCGCCUGUUGCGAAGGCGUCUAACUGGAACGGUUCUGACGGUGAGGGACGAAAGUUAGGGGCGCGAACCGGAUUAGAUACCCGGGUAGUCCUAACUGUAAACGAUGCGGACUUGGUGUUGGGUGGCUUUGAGCUGCUCCAGUGCCGAAGGGAAGCUGUUAAGUCCGCCGCCUGGGAAGUACGGUCGCAAGACUGAAACUUAAAGGAAUU
rnacentral:rRNA from 1 species